GAUGAACGCUGGCGGCGUGCCUAAUACAUGCAAGUCGAGCGAACAGACGAGGAGCUUGCUCCUCUGACGUUAGCGGCGGACGGGUGAGUAACACGUGGAUAACCUACCUAUAAGACUGGGAUAACUUCGGGAAACCGGAGCUAAUACCGGAUAAUAUAUUGAACCGCAUGGUUCAAUAGUGAAAGACGGUUUUGCUGUCACUUAUAGAUGGAUCCGCGCCGCAUUAGCUAGUUGGUAAGGUGACGGCUUACCAAGGCAACGAUGCGUAGCCGACCUGAGAGGGUGAUCGGCCACACUGGAACUGAGACACGGUCCAGACUCCUACGGGAGGCAGCAGUAGGGAAUCUUCCGCAAUGGGCGAAAGCCUGACGGAGCAACGCCGCGUGAGUGAUGAAGGUCUUCGGAUCGUAAAACUCUGUCAUUAGGGAAGAACAAAUGUGUAAGUAACUAUGCACGUCUUGACGGUACCUAAUCAGAAAGCCACGGCUAACUACGUG
rnacentral:rRNA from 1 species